GAUGAACGCUAGCGGCAGGCUUAACACAUGCAAGUCGAGGGGUAUUGGUUUUCGGACCAAGAGACCGGCGCACGGGUGCGUAACGCGUAUGCAAUCUACCUUUUGCAGAGGGAUAGCCCCAGAGAAAUUUGGAUUAAUACCUCAUAGUAUAGUACUUUGGCAUCAAGGAACUAUUAAAGUCACAACGGCAAAAGAUGAGCAUGCGUCCCAUUAGCUAGUUGGUAAGGUAACGGCUUACCAAGGCUACGAUGGUAGGGGUCCUGAGAGGGAGAUCCCCCACACUGGUACUGAGACACGGACCAGACUCCUACGGGAGGCAGCAGUGAGGAAUAUUGGACAAUGGGCGCAAGCCUGAUCCAGCCAUGCCGCGUGCAGGAAUAAGGUCCUAUGGAUUGUAAACUG
rnacentral:rRNA from 1 species